rnacentral:rRNA from 1 species
CAGUAGCCGCGGUAACACGUAGGGUGCAAGCGUUAAUCGGAAUUACUGGGCGUAAAGCGUGCGCAGGCGGUUAUAUAAGUCAGAUGUGAAAUCCCCGGGCACAACCUGGGAACUGCAUUUGAGACUGUAUGGCUAGAGUGUGUCAGAGGGGGGUAGAAUUCCACGUGUAGCAGUGAAAUGCGUAGAUAUGUGGAGGAAUACCGAUGGCGAAGGCAGCCCCCUGGGAUAACACUGACGCUCAUGCACGAAAGCGUGGGGGGCAAACAGGAUUAGAACCCCAGUAGUCCCUGUCUCUUAUACA